CACACAGAGACAAGGCAGCGGCCAGCGGAGCAGCCAUGAGCCAGGGAGCACUGGGGCACCAGAGGCUGAGCGUGGCAGGGAGGAGCCUCCCAAGGCUACCGAGGGAGCACGGCCUGCAGACACCUCGAGAUGGGCCUUCCAGACUCCAGAACUGGCUGCUGGAAAGAUCUGCUGGCAGCCAGCUCAGCAGCGGAUAGGUUAGGAUGGCCGGACAGUGAUCGGUGAUGUGGCUUCAGCAAAAUGUGAACUUGGCUGCCUUUUCUUCAAAUCUGCAAAACAGAAACCAUGAAAUCUCUCCUUUUUCUCAAGAAAUGUGUAUAAAAUAAAUAUAGCAAGUUCAUAAUUUUCAUUAAACAUUUAAGUCCCUCAGAAAGAGUAGAUGAAUCCCUGGUUUCCACAGUGAGGACAAAGCUGAGAAAUAAG
rnacentral:lncRNA from 1 species